rnacentral:misc_RNA from 1 species
AAAGUUACAAAAAAUCAACAUCCCAACCUCCACACUCCUUCUCUCCCCUUCUGCCACCUCACUUCUCUGCCCCAUUAAACUCCGCGUUUUUGCCUCCAUCAUCGCUUUGUAUUUGCUCAACUCUGUAUCUUUCUUUCUGCACCUCACUUUCUUUGAAACUUUCCACUUUGACAAAUCCACACGCAAUUGGUGAAAUUCUUGUAUCUCGUCACUUUCCUGGAAAUUUCCUUCUUCCUCGUCCGACCUCCUCUUAUUUAACUUACCCUUUCUCACCCUCUUCUCUCUCUCAUAGAUUACAGCCCAUUUCCUGAUCUUAGAUAAAAUUUCUGUUAUUUUCUGGGAUACCCAGUUCGUGUUUUAUUGUUUUUAUUUUUUUUAAUCGGCUUGUGAAGGGAUUGGAGUUGAAGAUGGAGAAUAACCAGCAAUCAUUUUGGCAAUUCAGUGAUCAGUUGAGGGUACAUACUUCAAACUUUGCAAAUCUUUCACUCAACGACUCAAUAUGGAGCAAUUCUUAUGGGGCAAAGAGGCCAAAUGAGAGGAGGAAUUUUGAUACAAGAGUUGGAGGUGAAUUGAAUUCUGUUAUCAAUUCUAAGUCAAAAGAGUCUGAUUUGAACAAUGGUUUCAAUGAUGGGUGGAAGAUAGGAGCUAGUGUUGGUGCUACUAAGGAUUUGAAUGGGUGGAAGAUAGGAGCUAGCGGUGCUGUUACUGCGGAUUUGAAUGGUUUCAAUGAUGGGUGGAAGAUAGGAGCUAGUGUUGGUGCUACUAAGGAUUUGAAUGGGUGGAAGAUAGGAGCUAGCGGUGCUGUUACUGCGGAUUUG